rnacentral:tRNA from 1 species
UCAUUUAUACCAAAACUAUUGCGGAUGUAUUUGCCAUCUUCAAAGUCGUCAGAACUGGCAAUGGUGUCAGACAUAU